rnacentral:rRNA from 1 species
AGCGAACGCUGGCGGCAGGCUUAACACAUGCGAGUCGAACGCCCGUAGCAAUACGGGAGUGGCAGACGGGUGAGUAACGCGUGGGAACAUGCCCUUUGGUUCGGAAUAACUCAGGGAAACUUGAGCUAAUACCGGAUAAGCCCGAGAGGGGAAAGAUUUAUCGCCGAAGGAUUGGCCCGCGUCCGAUUAGCUAGUUGGUGAGGUAAUGGCUCACCAAGGCGACGAUCGGUAGCUGGUCUGAGAGGAUGAUCAGCCACACUGGGACUGAGACACGGCCCAGACUCCUACGGGAGGCAGCAGUGGGGAAUAUUGGACAAUGGGGGCAACCCUGAUCCAGCCAUGCCGCGUGAGUGAUGAAGGCCCUAGGGUUGUAAAGCUCUUUCGGCGGGGACGAUAAUGACGGUACCCGCAGAAGAAGCCCCGGCUAACUUCGUGCCAGCCGCCGCCGUAAUAC